AUAGCAGAAGUCAUAGCAAAGGUGACAGCUUGUGUCUAUGGCUGGGAGUGCACUAUAGGGGGUAAUACCAUAACUUCCUUGAAAGCAGACAGAUGCUAUAAACCCCUGCCUACUUCCCCCCCACCAAGUGUCCCACCAGGAAACCUCUUCCCAAAACCUGUAGCUGUACCCAUGAUGAGAAGCAGGCACAGCUGGCAAACUGCAGACCCAUAGACCUGGCAGCAUCCUGUCCCAAGCGAGCUAAAGAAGCAAAACAAAAAGGCUGUGCAAGAGGAAAACUCACAGUCCCUGCAAGUAGGACCACUUUACCAGUGCGGACCCCAACACAGAGAGCAUUUCAUGUUUGUCCAACAAGUGCAUGAAGUUACAGAACCUGGAUGAAGAUCCAGAUCUCUUAAGUCCAAGUCUGUCACUCCAGCCACAAGCAGAGCUACGUCUAACAUAGAAGAAACAUGUGGGACUCACUGCAGUUAGCUACACUGCCAAAAGCACAACUGUUCUCCCUUAAAACAGAUGCUUUCCAUAGUGCACAUCAUCAUGGGAGAUGUUGUUUGCUGAAGCAGCGAGUCCACUGAGCACCAUGAGGACCCUUUUCCAGUUGGAGCAGCCCGCUUUUGGCACUUCGCAGUACAGGACCUUGUGCCUGUCCUCCACAUAAAUUCUUGACACCAGGUGCACCAGGUCCUACUCAUGUCCACCUACAGAGAGAUGAUGGAUGUGGAUGCAAUGGACUGAAUGCACAUUCAGGUGUCUGUGACACACAUUCCUGCACCUGAGCUGCUUUCACAGCUGAUAAGGAAAAUUAGAUGCCUUUGGAGCCUAUUCCAUCUGACUUACUUAAACAUCAACAUUAAUGACACCAACUAACUAAACAUCAACUAGUGACCCUGCAAAGAAUGUGAAAAGAUGAGACUUUCCUCCCAAACAUCUCUUUGUAAGUCCCCAGCCACUGUGCAAUCCAUGAACUGCAGGAACAGCAAAGCUUGCAUCUGUGUUUUGACAUCAAAUUAUUCAGGGUCUUGUAUCACGUAAGCUGACUGAAGAGUUUCUUGCAGUUUGGGUAUUUCUGCUCGCUCAUUCCUGAGUGGGUUCUCAUGUGUCUGCUAAGGCUUGUAGUUUUUUUCUCCUGUUAGUAGGCAAACCUGCUGCAUUGGGACACCUCCACAGCUGCUUAUUUUCAUUAUAUGUCUGGAGAGGGAAGAUGCUGAUUGACACAUUUUUAAACAUCUUCUUACAAGUAACAGACAGACAAAUGGUUAGAUGGGCAGACAAGCACAGACUGCCUGACUGCUUCUAUAAGUCUAACUUUUUUGGAAAUCUACAUAAAAAGGCUUUUCUGCCAUAAAAUGAUUAAACAUAUACUGGAAAGUUGAUUUGUGGACUGGCAGAUCAUAAGUGUGGAUUUGGGGGGAUGGGAAAGUUCAUAGGCUGAAUCAAAUAAAGCUGUUAAAAAUUCAGAGGAGUAAUGUAAGAAAUGGUAAUGAAUGGAACACAUUGGUAAUGAAUUCCAGUUUGAAAUAAAGCCUAUGAAAAAACAAGCAGUUCCAAGAAAAGUUAGCAUAUGUUGCAGUGUAAUAAUUUCCCAUAACAAAAACAAACCCAGGGGAUCAGGCUUUUCUGUACUGCUGCAAGCCACUGACAAGCAGGUUUUUAUUCACCACACUGAUUUUUGUAUUGGUGAAAACAAAUAAAAGAAGAGAGUCGCGCA